rnacentral:rRNA from 1 species
CACGUAGGGUGCAAGCGUUGUUCGGAAUCACUGGGCGUAAAGCGCGUGUAGGCGGUUUGAUAAGUCGAAUGUGAAAGCCCGAGGCUCAACCUCGGAAGUGCAUUCGAAACUGUCUGGCUUGAGGACGGGAGAGGGAAGUGGAAUUCCCGGUGUAGAGGUGAAAUUCGUAGAUAUCAGGAGGAACACCGGUGGCGAAGGCGGCUUCCUGGACCGAUACUGACGCUGAGACGCGAAAGCGUGGGGAGCAAACAGG